AUUGAACGCUGGCGGCAGGCCUAACACAUGCAAGUCGAGCGAGCGGCGGACGGGUGAGUAAUGUCUGGGAAACUGCCUGAUGGAGGGGGAUAACUACUGGAAACGGUAGCUAAUAACGCAUACCAUCAGAUGUGCCCAGAUGGGAUUAGCUAGUCGGGGGGGUAACGGCUCACCUAGGCGACGAUCCCUAGCUGGUCUGAGAGGAAGACCGGCCACACUGGAACUGUGACACGGUCCAUACUCCUACGGUAGGCAGCAGUGGGGAAUAUUUCCCAAUGGGCGCAAGCCUGAUGCAGCCAUGCAGCGGGUAUGAAGAAGGCCUUCGGUUUGUAAAGUACUUUCAGCGGGGAGGCGUUACCCGCAGAAGAAGCACCGGCUAACUCCGUGCCAGCAGCCGCGGUAAUAC
rnacentral:rRNA from 1 species